AUUGAACGCUGGCGGCAGGCCUAAAAAAUGCAAGUAGAGCGGAGCGGCGGACGGGUGAGUAAUACCUAGGAAUCUGCCGGGGAGGGGGGGAUAAAGUUCGGAAAGGGACGCUAAUACCGCAUACUAUCAGAUGAGCCUAGGUCGGAUUAGCUAGUUGGGGGGGUAAUGGCUCACCAAGGCUACGAUCCGUAACUGGUCUGGGGGGAUGAUCAGUCAACCUGGAACUGAUACACGGUCCCGCCUCCUACGGGAGGCAGCAGUGGGGAAUAUUGGACAAUGGGCGGUGUCCUGCUCCAUCCAUGCCGCGUGUGUUCUGCCGGUCUUCGGAUUGUAAAGCACUUUAAGUUGGGAGGCGUUACCGACUGAAUAAGCACCGGCUAACUCGAUGCCCGCAGCCGCGGUAAUUC
rnacentral:rRNA from 1 species